CUCAUUUUGAAUUGAAGAGCCCUUAUCUAGUGUAACGAACCGCAGGUGUUUGUCGUGUUGUGUUGAGGUUGGGACGCCUUACCUGUCUGACACCUGCUCUAAAGUCAGCUUCUUGUCACUUUGAAGAAGAAUGGACACAUAAUGACGUAUGACCCCCACGAGGAAGGUGAUGAAGACAAUGGGUAACACCACCCAGAGUCGAAUGUUGGAGUCCAGGAGGAGCUCCGGCUCAGCCAUUCAGCCUGCUUACCGUCUCUGGCGAAUGCGAAGGACACAGAAAAGGGAUACGGAAUUGAAAGACUGACUCAGCGGCUUCAUCUGUUAAGGUGAACUCGCAUCCAUAUUCCACAUAUGCCACAUCCGACAGAGACAAAGACCUCAAGCAGGACGGUGAGUUCAUCCUGUCGACUCUCUGCACAGAUGUCGGAUGGCGGGUGUCGGCCUCUUCUCAUUCCCUCACAAGGCAAUUAGCGUGGCGACCUGGGGGCUGCUGCCUUGUGCACGCCACCUUCUCUCCUAACGACUCCUUCACGUCUCCUCGCAGGCUUUUGGAAAAGACAAAGUCCAAAGUGUCGUGUACCUUCAUCGUGUGUCCCAAGAGGGCAGCAUGACUUCUACUGUAGUCAUCAAGCUUCCACCAGAAACCAAUAAGAUUAUAUGCUCCACUUUGUAAACUCAGUGUAAGCAGGAGGAAUUCCCUGAAGGAGGUGACUCGACCUUCCAGGAGACACACCGAGGCCCAGAGAGAGAGAGAGGAAAAUGGGAUGUGUACAAGAGAAGAACAAAGGGGGACACUUUUGGACAAAGGUGAAGAAUAUGAGCCUCUGGCUGCUGUCCGUCAAGACACGGGACCAUCCUGGGUCCAAAUGAAGGUUAGUACUCGUGCUCGGUGUAGGCCCAUAACCAUCAGACAUCUGCCAGAUAAGAAACAUCUCCAAAGGCCUGGUCUCCUUCAAGGUUUGGAAUGAGCAGGAGAGCACCAAACAUGGGACAUUGAAAGGUGGAAGAAAGUUUUCUUCUCCCCGGACGGUCCUGAUGUGAUGUAAUGU